rnacentral:lncRNA from 1 species
AGCUUCUGGGAAAAAGCCGCAUCGAUCAUGACGACGGUCUGGGUAUUAGUGAUGGGUCGUUCGUGAACGAGUUGGCUCUAAGAGACGGCUCUUGUAGGUGAACGUUGGGAGCUGGCUCGCAUAUCAGAAGAGCCGAAUCUAUUUAUAAAAAUAUAAAAAAUUAAGAUAUGAAUAAUCAAAAGAUUUAAAUUAAUAGAAUUAACUAAUUCAAAGAACUUUUUUUUUUUUUUAAAUAAUAUAGGUCUAAAUGCUCAAGCGCACACAAUCAUUCUGACUGUCUGCUCAGACUAACAGCCUCACCUGUUGUUCCUGUCAAUCAGACACGCAGUGUCAACCAAUGAACCAAAGUUGCAUAAGGGAGGGCCGAGCCAACUCACUCACAGUCACACACUUAGCAGCCGAGGAGAGAGAGGAAAGACAGCUGUGAAAACAACAGCUGGAAAAUUUGUCAGAGGCACAGUAGCAUUUGGAUGCAUUUUAAUAAUGUAGACAAUGUUAGAGCACAGUGUAGAAUUUGCCAAAACAAAAUCUCAUAUAAAGCCGGUUCUACGCACAACCUACACCGGCAUAUGCGAACUGUGCACCCAACUGUGAAGCUAGCUGUAGCGGAGCUUCGAGAAACUAGCGGGCCUGCUAGUGAUAGUGGUGGAGCCAGCAUCUCCACACGUGGAGAUGUAUCCACUCAGUCAAGUAGCUCUACUCCGCGACCCACAGCAACGCAGUCUUCUAUGGACCAGUUUAUGCCAAAGUCUAUGUCUGUAGCAAAACAAGGCCAAAUUAAUAUUGCAUUGGCUAAAAUGAUUGCCACCGAUUUCCAGCCAUUUUCGAUUGUAGAGGACAGAGGUUUUGGAAAUUAUAGAAAUAGUCUAUAUCCAAUGUACACAAUUCCAUGCAGGAAAACCCUUUCAAAAUCACUUAUUCCACAACUGUAUGAGAGCACACAGGCUUCGGUGCGGGAAAGAGUCCAAAAAGCUACUGCAGUUUGCCUUACCACUGACUGCUGGACAUCAAGGGUAACCACUUCUUACAUGUCGGUUAUAUGUCACUUCAUUGAAGUUUUUCCGAUGUCUAGCUGUCUUCUGGACUGCUUUGAGUUCAGCGACAGACACACCUCAGAGAACUUGGCAGAGGAACUGUUGAGAGUGGCCAGAGAAUGGCAAGUAGAUGGAAAAGUGGUCUGUUGUGUUAGCGACAAUGCAGCUAACAACCAAAGCCAUGAAAAUGUUAAAAUGGACUCAUCGUCCAUGUCUUGCCCACACAAUCAACCUGAUUGUAAGAGAUGCUCUGAAGGUGAUGAAGCCCACUGUGGACAAAGUGAAAGCAGCUGUGGAACACUUCCACAGGAGCUCAGUAGGUGCUGAAAAACUAAAGUCUACACAAUGCCAGAUGGGGAUGCCUGAGCUGAGGCCUAAACAAGACUGCACGACAAGGUGGAAUUCAACAUUUUAUAUGUUGAAGAGGUUUUUUGAGUCAAAGGAUGCCAUCAUCUCUACCCUGGCCAUUGUCAAUGCACCUGUUAAUGCUCUGACCCAAGAGCAAUGGGAGGAGGUGUGCAGUGUCCUGGAACCCUUUGAGCAGGUCACUGUGGAGAUCAGUGGAGAGAGCUAUCUGACAGCCUCAAAAAUGAUACUCCCGUGUAAGGGUCUGCAGCGAAUCCCAGCCACCAGUCAGAGAGAAGCAAAUGUAACCAGAACACAUGUGACUGAGUUGAUGGACACUUUUACAGAUACAGGUAUCCUGUGUGUAUUUGUUUUCUCUCCUUCUGCCCUAUUCACAGGUGGCAGUCAUCAGUCGCCAAUCAGAAGACACACCUGCUCCUUUUCUCUUACCCAAUCACAUCCCCUUUCCCUUGGUUGAAAAGAAACCCAAUCAGUUGUCUCUAGAGCUCUCUCUUUUGUUUUUGCGCCUACAUGUCACAUUUGUCCGUUAUUAUGUGAGUAUGUAUUGUUGUGGUGUAUGACUGUUUGUUUGUUUGUUGGUGGGAAAAGGGGAUACAAAGCCAAGUCGCCCAUGGGCAUACAUUACCCGUAGGAAAACUUUGUCUAAGUACUCUAGUUAGAACUGGGCGGACCACCCACUGUAUUUUAUUGGUUAGUUAGCUAGCUGUUCAUGAAGCAGGCUAGACUAGCUUAGGUUGUUUUUAAAAAUAUUUAUUAG